rnacentral:tRNA from 1 species
GCCUGACUAGCUCAGUCAGUAGAGCAUGGGACUCUUAAUCCCAGGGCCAUGGGUUCAAACCCCAUGUUGGGCA